rnacentral:misc_RNA from 1 species
AAUAGCUGAAGCUCAGGCAGG